rnacentral:rRNA from 1 species
UACAGAGGUCCCAAGCGUUGUUCGGAUUCACUGGGCGUAAAGGGCGCGUAGGCGGUCGGGUAAGUCUGAUGUGAAAUCUCACAGCUUAACUGUGAAACUGCAUUGGAUACUAUCCGGCUCGAGGAAUGGAGGGGAGACUGGAAUACUUGGUGUAGCAGUGAAAUGCGUAGAUAUCAAGUGGAACACCAGUGGCGAAGGCGAGUCUCUGGACAUUACCUGACGCUGAGGCACGAAAGCCAGGGGAGCAAACGGG